GACGAACGCUGGCGGCGUGCUUAACACAUGCAAGUCGAGCGGUAAGGCCCUUUCGGGGUACGACGAGCGGCGAACGGGUGAGUAACACGUGGGUGACCUGCCCUUAGCUCUGGGAUAAGCCUGGGAAACGUGGGUCUAAUACCGGAUAUGACUCCAUGACGCAUGUUGUGGGGUGGAAAGCCUUGUGCGGCUAGGGAUGGGCCCGCGGCCUAUCAGCUUGUUGGUGGGGUGAUGGCCUACCAAGGCGACGACGGGUAGCCGGCCUGAGAGGGCGACCGGCCACACUGGGACUGAGACACGGCCCAGACUCCUACGGGAGGCAGCAGGUGGGGAAUCUUGCGCAAUGGGCGAAAGCCUGACGCAGCGACGCCGCGUGGGGA
rnacentral:rRNA from 1 species